rnacentral:rRNA from 1 species
GACGAACGCUGGCGGCGUGCUUAACACACGCAAGUCGAACGGAAAGGCCCUGCUUUUGUGGGGUGCUCGAGUGGCGAACGGGUGAGUAACACGUGAGUAACCUGCCCUUGACUUUGGGAUAACUUCAGGAAACUGGGGCUAAUACCGGAUAGGAGCUCCUGCUGCAUGGUGGGGGUUGGAAAGUUUCGGCGGUUGGGGAUGGACUUGCGGCUUAUCAGCUUGUUGGUGGGGUAGUGGCUUACCAAGGCUUUGACGGGUAGCCGGCCUGAGAGGGUGACCGGCCACAUUGGGACUGAGAUACGGCCCAGACUCCUACGGGAGGCAGCAGUGGGGAAUAUUGCACAAUGGGCGGAAGCCUGAUGCAGCAACGCCGCGUGCGGGAUGACGGCCUUCGGGUUGUAAACCGCUUUCGCCUGUGACGAAGCGUGAGUGACGGUAAUGGGUAAAGAAGCACCGGCUAACUACGUG